rfam:Schistosoma haematobium scaffold622_27, whole genome shotgun sequence.
AUCCAGCUGACGAGUCCCGCUCAGGAUGAAACUUGAGUCCUAGAU